AGAGUUUGAUCCUGGCUCAGGACGAACGCUGGCGGCAUGCCUAACACAUGCAAGUCGAACGGAGAAAGUUCAACACCAAGUAUUUCAUCCGCUAUAGUGUAGCGGUAAAAAUUGCGAAGCAAUUUUUACUACGCAUUAAAAGCAUGAGCUGACACGGUGGUUGAAGUAUUAGGUGUUGAACUUUCUUAGUGGCGAACGGGUGAGUAACGCGUGGGCAACCUGCCCUCUAGAUGGGGACAACAUCCCGAAAGGGGUGCUAAUACCGAAUGUGACAGCAAUCUCGCAUGAGGAUGCUGUGAAAGAUGGCCUCUAUUUAUAAGCUAUCGCUAGAGGAUGGGCCUGCGUCUGAUUAGCUAGUUGGUGGGGUAACGGCCUACCAAGGCGAUGAUCAGUAGCCGGUCUGAGAGGAUGAACGGCCACAUUGGGACUGAGACACGGCCCAGACUCCUACGGGAGGCAGCAGUGGGGAAUCUUCCGCAAUGGGCGAAAGCCUGACGGAGCAAUGCCGCGUGAGUGAUGAAGGAAUUCGUUCCGUAAAGCUCUUUUGUUUAUGACGAAUGUGCAGAUUGUGAAUAAUGAUUUGUAAUGACGGUAGUAAACGAAUAAGCCACGGCUAACUACGUGCCAGCAGCCGCGGUAAUACGUAGGUGGCGAGCGUUGUCCGGAAUUAUUGGGCGUAAAGAGCAUGUAGGCGGUUUUUUAAGUCUGGAGUGAAAAUGCGGGGCUCAACCCCGUAUGGCUCUGGAUACUGGAAGACUUGAGUGCAGGAGAGGAAAGGGGAAUUCCCAGUGUAGCGGUGAAAUGCGUAGAUAUUGGGAGGAACACCAGUGGCGAAGGCGCCUUUCUGGACUGUGUCUGACGCUGAGAUGCGAAAGCCAGGGUAGCGAACGGGAUUAGAUACCCCGGUAGUCCUGGCCGUAAACGAUGGGUACUAGGUGUAGGAGGUAUCGACCCCUUCUGUGCCGGAGUUAACGCAAUAAGUACCCCGCCUGGGGAGUACGUCCGCAAGGAUGAAACUCAAAGGAAUUGACGGGGGCCCGCACAAGCGGUGGAGUAUGUG
rnacentral:rRNA from 1 species